rfam:Trichobilharzia regenti genome assembly, scaffold: TRE_scaffold0070628
AUCCAGCUGACGAGUCCAAAAUGGGACGAGAUGAGCAUCCUGGAU